AUGAAGGUAACGAAUCCUGUGAAGUUUUUGUUGAUGUUGCAGAGUUGUUGCGAAGAAGUAGAUUGGAGUUGCUGCGAUUUUGAUGAUGAAGAAUUGAAGAACGAUUAUGAUGAGAGGAGAAGAGAGAGUUUGUUGAAGAUUAGGGUAAUUCUCCCAAAAGAAUGGAGAAUGAAUGAAUUAAGGUUUGAAGCAAGCAAGAACAAGUCCAUUUGGUGGCUAUUUAAAGGAUUGGACAUGGUUUUGAGCACAAUGUUGCACAAGGAUUAG